rnacentral:rRNA from 1 species
GACGAACGCUGGCGGCGUGCUUAACACAUGCAGGUCGAACGGAAAGGCCCUGCUUUUGUGGGGUGCUCGAGUGGCGAACGGGUGAGUAACACGUGAGUAACCUGCCCUUGACUUUGGGAUAACUUCAGGAAACUGGGGCUAAUACCGGAUAGGAGCUCCUGCUGCAUGGUGGGGGUUGGAAAGUUUCGGUGGUUGGGGAUGGACUCGCGGCUUAUCAGCUUGUUGGUGGGGUAGUGGCUUACCAAGGCUUUGACGGGUAGCCGGCCUGAGAGGGUGACCGGCCACAUUGGGACUGAGAUACGGCCCAGACUCCUACGGGAGGCAGCAGUGGGGAAUAUUACACAAUGGGCGGAAGCCUGAUGCAGAAACGCCGCGUGCGUGAUAACGGCCUUCGGGUUGUAAACCGCUUUCGCCUGUGACGAAGCGUGAGUGACGGUAAUGGGUAAAGAAGCACCGGCUAACUACGUG